GGGUCGUUAGCUCAGUUGGUAGAGCAGUUGCCUCUUAAGCAAACGGUCGCUGGUUCGAAUCCAGCACGACCCACCA
rnacentral:tRNA from 1 species